rnacentral:rRNA from 1 species
UACGUAGGUGGCGAGCGUUGUCCGGAAUUACUGGGCGUAAAGGGCGUGUAGGCGGUUGAUCAAGUCCGUUGUGAAAACCCAUGGCUCAACCAUGGAAUUGCAAUGGAAACUGAUUGACUGGAGUUCGGGAGGGGUUACUGGAAUUCCUGGUGUAACGGUGAAAUGUGUAGAUAUCAGGAGGAACACCCGUGGCGAAGGCGGGUAACUGGCCCGAUACUGACGCUGAUACGCGAAAGCGUGGGGAG